AUUGAACGCUGGCGGCAGGCCUAACACAUGCAAGUCGAGCGGAUGAAGGGAGCUUGCUCCUGGAUUCAGCGGCGGACGGGUGAGUAAUGCCUAGGAAUCUGCCUGGUAGUGGGGGAUAACGUCCGGAAACGGGCGCUAAUACCGCAUACGUCCUGAGGGAGAAAGUGGGGGAUCUUCGGACCUCACGCUAUCAGAUGAGCCUAGGUCGGAUUAGCUAGUUGGUGGGGUAAAGGCCUACCAAGGCGACGAUCCGUAACUGGUCUGAGAGGAUGAUCAGUCACACUGGAACUGAGACACGGUCCAGACGCCUACGGGAGGCAGCAGUGGGGAAUAGUGGACAAUGGGCGAAAGCCUGAUCCAGCCAUGCCGCGUGUGUGAAGAAGGUCUUCGGAUUGUAAAGCACGUUAAGUUGGGAGGAAGGGCAGUAAGUUAAUACCUUGCUGUUGUGACGUUACCAACAGAAGAAGCACCGGCUAACUUCGUG
rnacentral:rRNA from 1 species